rnacentral:rRNA from 1 species
AGUGAACGCUGGCGGUAGGCCUAACACAUGCAAGUCGAACGGCAGCACAGGAGAGCUUGCUCUCUGGGUGGCGAGUGGCGGACGGGUGAGGAAUACAUCGGAAUCUACUCUGUCGUGGGGGAUAACGUAGGGAAACUUACGCUAAUACCGCAUACGACCUACGGGUGAAAGCAGGGGAUCUUCGGACCUUGCGCGAUUGAAUGAGACGAUGUCGGAUUAGCUAGUUGGCGGGGUAAAGGCCCACCAAGGCGACGAUCCGUAGCUGGUCUGAGAGGAUGAUCAGCCACACUGGAACUGAGACACGGUCCAGAAUCCUACGGGAGGCAGCAGUGGGGAAUAUUGGACAAUGGGCGCAAGCCUGAUCCAGCCAUACCGCGUGGGUGAAGAAGGCCUUCGGGUUGUAAAGCCCUUUUGUUGGGAAAGAAAUCCAGCUGGCUAAUACCCGGUUGGGAUGACGGUACCCAAAGAAUAAGCACCGGCUAACUUCGUGCCAGCAGCCGCAGUAA